UACGAAGGGGGCUAGCGUUGCUCGGAAUGACUGGGCGUAAAGGGCGCGUAGGCGGAUGGCACAGUCAGAUGUGAAAUUCCCGGGCUUAACCUGGGGGCUGCAUUUGAUACGUGUGAUCUAGAGUGAGGAAGAGGGUCGUGGAAUUCCCAGUGUAGAGGUGAAAUUCGUAGAUAUUGGGAAGAACACCGGUGGCGAAGGCGGCUCACUGGCUCAUUACUGACGCUCAUGCACGAAAGCGUGGGGAGCAAACAGG
rnacentral:rRNA from 1 species